GUGGGGAAUCUUGCGCAAUGGGCGAAAGCCUGACGCAGCCAUGCCGCGUGAAUGAUGAAGGUCUUAGGAUUGUAAAAUUCUUUCACCGGGGACGAUAAUGACGGUACCCGGAGAAGAAGCCCCGGCUAACUUCGUGCCAGCAGCCGCGGUAAUACGAAGGGGGCUAGCGUUGCUCGGAAUUACUGGGCGUAAAGGGCGCGUAGGCGUACAGUUUAGUCAGAGGUGAAAGCCCAGGGCUCAACCUUGGAAUUGCCUUUGAUACUGGCUGUCUUGAGUUUGGGAGAGGUGAGUGGAACUCCGAGUGUAGAGGUGAAAUUCGUAGAUAUUCGGAAGAACACCAGUGGCGAAGGCGACUCACUGGCCCAAUACUGACGCUGAGGCGCGAAAGCGUGGGGAGCAAACAGGAUUAGAAACCCGAGUAGUCC
rnacentral:rRNA from 1 species